rnacentral:rRNA from 1 species
GACGAACGCUGGCGGCGUGCCUAAUACAUGCAAGUCGAACGCAGUGGGGACGGGUGAGUAACACGUGGGUAACCUCCCAUCAGAGGGGAUAACACUUGGAAACAGGUGCUAAACCGAUACUGAUGGAUGGACCCGCGGUGCAUUAGCUAGUUGGUGAGGUAACGGCUCACCAAGGCCACGAUGCAUAGACGGUCGGAGAGGAGGACGAGCAACACGGGGAAUGAGAAAGGGGCAAGACUACUACGGGAGGCAGCAGUGGGGAAUAUGGGACAAUGGGCGCAAGCCGGACGGAGCCAUGCCGAGUGUAUGAAGAAGGACUUCGGAUUGUAAAGCACUUGCAGUGGGGAGGCGGGACAUGAAGAAGAAGCACCGGCUAACUAAGUGCCAGCAGACGCGGGAAUUC